GUGCUCACUUCAGCAGUACAUAUACUAAAAUUGGAACAAUAAAUGGUGCCUGCACAAGAAUGAUAUGCAAACUCAUGAAGUGUUUCAUAUUUUU
ensembl:snRNA U6 U6 spliceosomal RNA